GGAAAGCAGCUCUGCCCCCUUGUGUUGAAAGGGUGAAUUAUCGGGUGCAAUUUCCUGUUCAAGGGGGCUUCUUACUCUAGUAUGUGUGACUUCUUCCCUACUGCAAACCUGGAAAUGCAGAGAAGAAGACAUCGUAUCCAGGAAGAAGACCAACAAGGAAAUGAACUGAGACUGGUGGAAACUUGAGACCACUUUAGGUCUGUUUGAAUUCUGCUGUGAGUUUGACAUGCAUUCAAUACAGUUAACCAGUCUUGCAGGCUAUGCCUUUCGGUUCUAGUGGGAUAUUGUGGUCAAACUCUCAGCUGCUAACUGCUUGGAUAUGAAGUUCUAAUGAAAUUUUCUGAAGUCAUCAUCUUGAAAAAUCAAUCCCUCUCUCCAAGUACAAAGCCUGUCCAGAUGUACAAAUACUCUGCCUGGAAGACAGAAGUGCCAAUGAGCUUAUAAAGAGUGCUAGCAUCAUCUAGUGGAGGUUUCCACUGCAUGGUUAACAUGUGCAUUUAUGUACUGAUUAGGCUGAAAUCACCGUGUUCCUUGCCAUGAAACUGCUCCGAAUUUUCAGUGGCACCUCUUACUCCAGCUGACCGCUGCUGUGCACUCUGAUGGCCACCAUGCCUCUGACUAUAACGCCAGACAAACAUGCUGUCAUUAUGCACACAGCAAAAAAUAAAAAAAUAAAAAAAAUUUUUUA